CGCAUCCACCUUUAGCCUCAGAAAGGACUGGGCCUUGACCACAUUGAAUUUAAACCUCCACCGUGUUUCAGAUAUCUCCGUUCUGUUUUGACAUGGCGGAGUAAGACAAAUACACCCAAAUGGCAGCUCCGGAGACCCUAGAACACACUGUGCUGUACCCUGACCCUCUAGCAGAGUUGUCACCGCUGGAGAGAAACAGAUUUUGCCUCCAAGAAGGAGAAGAGAGAUGCAGGCUCACGGAGCAGAACAUGAUGAAUAUCACUUUUCCACUGGGGCAAAAGUCACACAGCCAAAGAAGCGAGGCAAUCAUCCAGAAAACAAAAUUGUUUUUGUCUGAGUGGCCAUUGGAGAGACUGAAAAACAGGCUCUUCAGACGCAACUUCUUCAGAAUAUUUUUAGUACAGGAGGAUGUAGAACCCACGGAUACGGAUGACCUGUUGCGCAUCUCAUGAUAAUCCCUACAGGUGGGUGAUACAGAGUGCGCCAGCCCCAAAGAGAGCCCACGGCCUUAGGAUGACGUGGCAGUGACAUUCAUCGCUGAGGAAGGGGAUCUGACAGAAAUGACAGGGGCCUCAGGGUGCCCCAGUGUGCACAGAGAGUGAUGAAUGUUAACCAGAUGCUGGUCUCCCUCCACCCUCAGAAGGUACAGGAAUUUGAAGGAGAAAGGAGAACCGGGCAGUGAGGACAGCUCUGAGAUGCCUCUGAGUUUACUGACAUGUAGUUUCCUCCAUCUGCCAAAGCAAAACUUCAAAC
rnacentral:lncRNA from 1 species